rnacentral:rRNA from 1 species
UGGGGGAUAUUGCACAAUGGGCGAAAGCUGAUGCAGCGACGCCGCGUGGGGGAUGAAGGCCUUCGGGUUGUAAACUUCUUUUGCUCUGAACAAGGCGCACCAUGGGGGGGGUUGAGUGGAGGGGUUGAUUAGCGCCGGCUAACUACGUGCCAGCAGCCGCGGUAAUACGUAGGGCGCGUGCGUUGUCCGGAAUUAUUGGGCGUAAAGGGCUUGUAGGUGGCUGGUUGCGUCUGUCGUGAAAGCUCAUGGCUUAACUGUGGGUUUGCGGUGGGUACGGGCUGGCUUGAGUGCAGUAGGGGAGGCUGGAAUUCCUGGUGUAGCGGUGGAAUGCGCAGAUAUCAGGAGGAAUACCGGUGGCGAAGGCGGGUCUCUGGGCUGUUACUGACACUGAGGAGCGAAAGCAUGGGGAGCGAACAGG